rnacentral:lncRNA from 1 species
GUCAUGCCAACUCCCGCAGACAAUGGCUGCUUUGUCCAGGAGAGAUGAUGAUUUAUAUGACAACCUGGCUUAAACCUCAGAAACCUUCAAUUUCUCCUUCUUCAAACAGUUUUUAUUAGAAGGAUGGUUGUGAAAAAUGAAGUCCUUAUGCACAAAGCCACCGCGUUUCACUGCGAUGUUCACCUGGCCUAUGAAGAUCUCCGGACACAAAACCAAGCAACAAAAUCAGGAUGCAACAAGAUGGAGGGGCAAAGCACAGAAGAGGAGUGGACCCUGCCAUAGGUGAGGGUUGACAUCCUCUUACACCUGCCGCUUCAUGCUUGAGCUCAGGAUGGUGACGAGUCCAAUCUUGUGCACGUCUUGUACACAGAAGAGCAGCAGCUGCAAGCUCAGGAACAAAACGGCCACAUCAUGCACAGAAGACAGGGCCCCAUGAUAGAUACUCCAUUUCUUCCUCAGACAUCCACUCUGAGAAAACAGUUGAGUUUCACUGGCCAUGAGAACCAUCUGGAUUCCGGUGAUAACUGGAUCCUCCUGUUCCCAAGGCUACCCAUCAAGAGCUCACCCUGCUACUAUUUCUCACAUACCACUUGCUUGAUGGCCUAUGGGUAUCCUCAAAGCUCCUUGCUCCCUCUGGGAUCCACACUUCCUCAUGCGAAUCCAUGGAAAU